GAGGCUCCGCCCCCAGCCCGAGACUUGGAGGCGUCCGACCCCCGAGCGAGCGCCCUUUUCCACCCCUCUCCAAGGAGGGCCCGAGGGGUUCUGCAGGGGCGAGUUUCGGUGUCUAAAGCCUUCCUUUUCCCAUGAUGUGCGCAUAGGAAGCCUUCUGUGUAACCUUACCUCUGAGACCUAGUUAUCAGUUGCCCAAACCCAGCCAUAAGGAUGUCAUUCCAUGGACCAUAUCUUAGAGGUUUUCACUUACAAAGCAUCCCUUGGAGUACCCUGCUCAGAGACUGGCACAAAGGGAGUGGGUAUCGUUGUUGAACAGGAAAAAAUAAGAUCCUGUUGGAGCUUUGGCCCUGAUGACUUAUGCAUCUGGAACGUUCCAUGGGAUGGAGCACGGCUGGGCAGGGUGGACCACUGAGGACAGAGAGCUGACCCAACAGACACCUGAUCUGACAGGAGCAAGUCCUGCAGAACCUGCGCUGGAGAGAUUUUGGCGAUCACCCAGCCGCAGUUCACCACCCUGGCUGCACCUAGACGCACCUGGGAGCUUAAAAAAAUAUUCGUUUCUGGAUUCCAUCCCUGGAGGUUUAAUUCAAGUGGUCUGGGGUAGAACUCCUUCUGAAGUUCUAUGAGAAAGAAGAGCUAAAUGUCACCCAUGACUGCAGACCUCCCUGGGGCCUUGAAGUCAGUGCAAGAGAUGAAACAGCACCUGCAGGCUGAACAGAUUCUCAGAGGCACCUGACCAUGAGCUUUAGCAGUCGAAUACCUAAGGAAGUCGUCCUGUCUUUUUACAGCCCAGCCCUCUCACAAGCCAAAAUCCAUCAUCCAUCCUGGAAGACCCUUUGGUUUAAUCUGAAGUCAGAGUCAUGCAAUAUUCUGAAACACUGAAGAUUUUGUCUUGGUCACAUUACCAGAUUCUUUAUCUCCUUAUCUCAGCAUGUUCUUUGGUGUAAGUGCUUGGCUCCUUUGGCAAUGUCAUUCGGUGGCUUCUCCCAUCGAAAAGUGGAGGCUCUUGUUCCAUCCCUGAGUCUGGGCUGGCCUGCUGAUUGGAUUUGAUCAAUAGAAUAAGGAGACACUGGAUUAGGAACGAGACACCUCAACCAGAGUCCUCCGGCUCUUUCCGAGUAUGGGCACAACCUCCUGACAAGCUGGCAACUUCAGAUGAAUGUCAAGUAUUAGAAAAGCGAAGUUGGUUGACUGCCACCUCCUCGCUGUUUUGUCACUUAAACCUUAAAAUUGAGAUGGCAAAUGCAAAACGUCAUCCAUAAGGUCUUCAGGAAAGGAACUCAUGGAUCUCCUUUUAAUUGUGAAGAGGUUCCCAGACAUUUCCUCAUGGCGCAUUUCCUCAUCCCACGUAGUCCAAGUCAUAGAUCAAGAAUCUAUAAGAUUUAAAUGGCAAAUAUCCACACAUUUAUAAACGGCUUUGGUAGAAUCAUGCUUUCAAACAUGUUUUUGCUCAUAAUUCUCUGGCAAGUGACAAAACCAUUACCUUCCUGUGAAUUAAUUCUUCCAGAACAUCUCAGUUUACCCAAGUAACAACCACGGAGGGCUCACGAAACAUCCUUGGCGAUUGACUUCUGAAGUACACGCAACAAACCAGGAACAGCAUCCGUGAUCCACGGAGCCCCGGUAACCAGGUGAAGCUGCAGAAGCUACUCAGCACUUGGGAGAAAUGUGGAGAACUCCACUGUUGGGAAAGACAGAAGAAUAAAACCCAGUUCCAGGACCCACUCGGUCAUCCCACGACACACCUAGGUUUCACUGACACAAAUGGGUCCUUCAACAUUCUAGUGAGACUUGGCUUGGUGUUACUCUUCGACACCCCCAAUCUGCUACUCAUUUGUGGCCACUCCACCCCUGAGAAUAGGGCAUCCCCCAAAGGCCAACCUUAAGCUCCAGGAGAGGUGUGUCCAGGUGCAAGCUUUGCAGCACUGCAGCAAAGGGUCCCAGGUCCCAGACCUGUCUCAUGAAGAAUGGGAAACAAUUUAGGUGAGCCCUACUAUUGUCCCAGCUUACUGCCUUGAGAGGGUUUCUGCUCUGUGGCAUAGGAAGGUGAGACCCGGGCAGAACCUGGUGGACUCUCCGUAGUAGGGAGAUGGGGAUGAGAGUCCAGGGAGCCCAAGGCAGCUCGAGUACCAAACAGAGUGCCAGAGAGGAAACAGCUGCACGGAGAGGGAACCCUGGAGAUGUGGAAGAUGUCCCCUGGAGUAUACAGCAGAGUUCUGACCACUACAUGCAUGUGAAGAUACUACCCCUUGCCAGAGGAAAAAGCAAACUGACGGGAUUAGAUAAAAAGCACCCAAUUCUCACAAAGGGCCAAGAAUGUAGCCUGUUCCCACUAGUCAGCCUAGAAAAAAAAUCAAACUUUUUGGGACACUGGGCAGAAUACUCAGGAAUGCUAUGCCUCAGUAGUGGGAAAAAUUUAGACACCUACCAAAUACUGUACCAGAUCCACUUCACAAAUUAGAACAUUGACCUGAAGAGUUCAAACGACUUUCAAGUAACUUAAUUGCAUCCCAGAGCAAAGCUCAAGAAUGACUAUAGGAAAAGAAAAUAUCCAGCAUUCAAAGAAAGUAAUAAUCACAACGGCUGGCAUCCAAUCAAGGAUUACCAGACAUUCAAAGUAUGAGGAACACAUAACCCAUAAUGAGGAAUCAAUCAAUCAGAACUGAAUUGGUAAACAAGAAUGUUAAAACAGUUAUUAUAACUAUAAUCCAGAUAUUCAAAAGGUUAAGUACGGAUGUAAAGCAAGUUUUUUUUAAAAAACCAAAAAUACCCAGAUUGAACUACAGAUGAAAACUGCAACAUCUGAAAUGAAAAAUAAACAGAUGGGAUUAAUAGUAGAUUAGACAGUCAUAAGAAUACAUUUGUAAACUUGAAAACAUGGCAAUAGAAACUACCCAAAAUAUAACACAAAGAGAAAAAAAAAAUUUUUUUAAUGAAGGGUAUCAAGUCAAGUGGCCUAAUACAUGUGUAAUUAGAAUCACCCAAGGAGAGGAGAGAGAGAGGUCAUGGAAAUAAUAUUUGAAGAAAUAAUGGCUGAAAAUAUUCCAAAUUUAAUUAAAACUGGAAACCCACAGAUCCAAGAAGCUCAACAAACCCCCAAGCAAAAUAAGCAUGAAGAGAAUUACAUCAAGGCCUAUCUUAAUCAAAUUGCUAAAGAAACCAGUGAUAAACAGAAAAUUUAUAGCAGCCAGAGAAAAAGAUGAGAUGUUACACAAAGAGACACAAAGCUAAAGAUGAGAGCAGAUUUUUCACUAGAAACAAUGUUAGCAAGACAAUCUCUUUAAAAUACUAAAAAACUGUCAAGCUAGAAUUUUACAACCAGCAAGGAUAUCUUUCAAAAACAAAGGUAAAAUAAAGAUGUUUUCAGACACACAAAAACUUGGAAGAAUUCACCAGCAAACCCACACGACAGGAAAUUUUAAAUAGUCUUUCAGGCAGAAGGAAAAUGAUACCAGAUGAAAAUAUGCAUCUAUACAAAAAGCACUGGAAAUGGUAAGUAUAUGUGAUUUUUAAAUUAAAUCUCUUUAUAAGAUAAUUGACUUUUUUUGGUUUUUUAAUUUAUUUAUUUUAUUUACUUUUGGCUGUGUUGGGUCUUUGUUGCUGCAUGCAGGCUUUCUCUAGUUGCGGCGAGUGGGGGCUACUCUUCGUUGUGGUGUGCAGUCUUUUCAUUGCGGUGGCUUCUCUUGUUGCGGAGCACAGGCUCUAGAGUGCAGGUGCAGUAGUUGUGGUGCAUGGGCUCAGUAGUUGUGACUCGUGGGCUCUAGAGCGCAGGCUCAGUUGUUGUGGCGCAUGGGCUUAGUUGCUCCGCGGCAUGUGGGAUCUUCUCAGACCAGGGAUCAAACCUGCAUCCUCUGCAUUGGCAGGCGGAUUCUUAACCACUGCACCACCAGGGAAGUCCCGAUAAUUGACUGUUUAAUCAUAAAUAAUAGCAUUGUAUUGUGGAGUUUAUAAUAUAUAUAUAUAAGCAAAACAUGACAACAAUAGCAUAACAACCAGGAAGGAGGAAAUUGAAAUAUUCUAUUUUAAGGUACUCAUACUAUACAUGAAGUCGUAAUUAUCACUUACAGGAAGACAGUGAUAAGUUAGAGUUAUAUACUAUACACUACACACUCUAUACACUACAUUUGAGCAACCUCUGUGUUUGUGGUAAUUUGUAACACUGAAAAAAAUCUAAUAUACUUAAUCCUACCUGAAACAGUGUUUAAAACAAAGUCUAUGUCUGAGCAAAUGUUAUCUUGAAAGUGUUGAUUUUUUUUCUCAACCUGUUUUCUAACAAAGCUCUUUGUUGGUUUUCCUUCUUCUGCAUCCCCAAUACAGUAUUAAAGAAAUAUCUCAAAGUUACCAAUCUGCUCAACGUCAACUCUCCAGCAGUGCUAAAUGUAGCUAUUCAUCUCUGUACAAUUAUAAGCUGCUUCAUUACUUUUGUUUCCCAUGUCCUCUUGGUCCAUCAAACUUACUGAGUUAUAGGGAAGGAAAGUUAAUCCUAUUAUGUAAUUACAUUAAUUAUUGCUACAUGAAUCACUCAGUAGGGAAAAAUAGCAAGCCUGGUAUAAUGAGAAACUAAAAGAAGUGACCAUUUGUAACCCCGCAUCCGAUAGGCCAAGUUAAAGUCAUGAAUUGACAGGUUGUUUUCCCUGAAAUAUGACAGUUGUCAAAAAAAGUGUGAUUUCCAGGUGAGCUGUGUGUGGUGUCAUAUCCACCUAAUGCACGUGAGGGACCAUAGGACCCAUGGAAACAGGCAGCAUAUCUCUUGGGAUAUUCUUUGAGAAAAAAAAUCAUAAUCAAAUUGCUUGCAAAACACUAAAAUACAAAUCGACCCCUUUUAGAGUUUCACAACCUUUAAUAAAGAUGACCCAGGUUUCAAGAUGUAUAGAAAACAUGACUGUUAUACUGACCUGGUGGAUCAUUUAUCAGUAUGAAGUAUUCCUCUUCCCCCCUCAAAUACCUAUUAGAUUCUAGUUUUCCUAAUAUUAAAAAAAAAAAAAAAAAGGCGAUCCAGGUUUGUGCAGAAAAGAAACCUAUUUAACUUGGUUUAUCCCAGAAAUUCCCAAACCUAUUUGAUAUGUAUUCUGUCCAAGUUUUAUAGUUGAGUUCAGUGGGAGGUAAGUGGAGGUGUGUGUUUACUUCACAUAGUCGGCGGAGUCAUUUCUUUGGCACACCUAUUAAUCCCUGGAAACGCAAAUGUUUUUGCAUGGAAAAUAUUUGAGGGAAAUGUGGGUCUAGAGAUUAAAUUCAUCGUGUGUUUAUUUAUCCUAUCCCUUCUUUAUGAUGAUAUUUCACUCCAGGUCCGGGGUUGAUAACAUGUGAAUUUGUGAGAAGAAUUCCUAGCGUAACUGCUCACCUCGACCCCACCUCGAGAUGACAGGAAGCACUGCUGCAGUCCACAGUCCCCCGAGAUAAAAUGCAUCCACCAUAACUUAAGAAGUUCAGGCAUCGCGGAUCAGCUCGGCUUAUCGCCCUAAGGCAUUCAGCAGACAUCUUCUAAGCACCUACCUUGUGUUAAGCUCAGUGCAUUACUAGCCUGCCAGCAGCACACUGGUCUUUCAAGCUCACAGAAGGUGUGACCAUGCCAAAGAAGGUAUCCAGGAGGGAUGAUGACUCACGGACCCCCAGAGGCUUCUGAGGAAGGGGAUGGGUAGCCGGGCUGGCUGGGAGGUGACUGUCGUCUCCAGUACAGAGACCCUCAAACAAGGUCAUGGGGUGGCACUGCCCUGACCACUUGUGCAGAACCUUGGAUGGGUCUUGAUGGGGUAGAGAACUCACUCAAAAGCAAAGCCAGUUGACAGCAGACAUUAAGUUAAAUCAAUCGGUGAUGCAAAUUUCAAGAGCAAAGAAGUAGGAAAGAGGGAAAUGUAAGAAACAAAAAGAAUAAAUUACUUUCCAUUUUGCAUUGAUUCUAAGAUGCACAUUUUUUUCACAUUUUGACAUGUCUGAAUUCUCUGAAAUUGAAACAUAUCUUAUAAUCCCAAGCAUCCUACAAUCGCUGGCCUCCAGGCAUCAACGUGACCUAGUUGUCAUUGCCAGCAUGUGCAAACUUGUUCACAGCUGUUGCUGUUGUCAUCACUUCAGCGGGAUUAUGUGCAUUGUUGGUACUACAUGUGCUAGGUUUAAUUGCCGUGUAAGAUGUCUUCAGAAAGAUUAUACCAUGAUUCGGUAUUGAAAAGAAAACUUACAAUGUAUUCAGAAAGGCAGGGAGACAGAGAAGCGGGGCAUAAAUUUGUUAUUUGUGAACUGAAUAUUCAUUAGAAGAGAAAUGAUUGUAAUUCCAUUAUCUCUUGCAAAAAAACCAAAAUCAAAACCCAAGUGCUUUACUCCUGCUACUCAAAAUGUGGUCCAUGGACCAACAGCAUCACCUGGGAGUUUGUUAGAAAUGCAGAAUCCCAGGUUCUACCAUAAACCCCCCAAAUCAGGAACAAGCAAGGAAUUAAUUCUCCCUGAGUUUCCAGAUGGAAAAUAUUUCAGACUUCCAGUUUCCAGACUGUGAGAGAAUAAAUUUCCAUGGUCAGUUGUUACAGCAGCUACAAGAAACUAAUAAACCCUCCUUUCACUCAGAGUCCAGUAGAGCCAGACACCUUCACAAGAACUCCCCAGCCCCAGGCAAGUUGCAGAUUGGAAGGAACAGAUCUCUACUUGGUUCUCCUGCUUCCUCUACCUGGGAAAACAGAAUGUCAAAGGGAAGAGCUGCAUUUCAUGCAGUUGCAACAAAGUGUAUGUCCCAGGAUGCUCCAGAAGACCCAGUGCUCAGAUGUAACAGGAACCUUCCUGCAAAUGAAGAAGUGUUCCAUCUCCUACCCUCAGAUCACCAAUUCUAUCUGUGCAGAGGCUGUCAAUCAAGUUUUUAGUAUAAAUUGAGUUAGUGCCAGCAGAAGAAGCAAUGAGGGAAGGCAGUCGUGUUUCUCACCAAAAAUAUUUUACUAAUACUCUACUUCCAGAGGGUGCUAUAGUUUAUUUAUCUAUUUAUUUGUUUGGCUGCUCCUUGCGGCUUGUGGUAUCUUAGUUCCCCAGCCCAGGAUCGAACCCAGGCCCUUGCAGUGGAAGUGCAGAGUCCUAACCACUGGACCGCCAGGGAAUUCCCUAUAGUUAACUUUAAAAAGGAGCCUCACACAUUCUGUGGCACUUCAUCCUGAAAGGCAGGUAGGGCUUUGCUCUCAUUUUCACAGCUGAGUAAGCGGUGGCCCAGAGAGUUUAAGCCACUUAAGAACCAAAAGUGACAGAGCCCUCGAAGGACUCUCCUGGUAUUUAGACCCCAAGGUCAAGGCACUUUUGAAGAACGACACUCUACGUCUUUCACGGAAACCUUAGCAAACUCUGAAAUAGACACUGUUUGUAAAUCACUAUCCUUUUUCUUCAUCCCUCUCCCCCACCCCCACUUUAGUGACAAAAGACCUCAUCUAGGGACAGUGUAUUUUACUCCCUGAGAUUUGCUGACACCUGCUGACAAGUGGAAGGAUAACAGUGGGUAAAGAAGUUUUGUAAAACAGGCUGUCGUACUGCCCUUGCCAAGCGAGGAGGCCAAGGUAACCGUCGCCCAGGAGAAGACGACGAAGUUCUCUAUUCUGCUCCAGAGUGAUGGCUCAAAAACAAAUCUCACCACUAUUAUUCAACAUAGUUUUGGAAGUCCUAGCCAUGGCAAUCAGAGAAGAAAAAGAAAUAAAAGGAAUACAAAUUGGAAAAGAAGUAAAACUGUCACUGUUUGCAGAUGACAUGAUACUAUACAUAGAGAAUCCUAAAGGUGCCACCAGAAAACUACUAAAGCUAAUCAAUGAAUUUGGUAAAGUUGCAGGAUACAAAAAUAAUGCACAGAAAUCUCUUGCAUUCCUAUACACUAAUGAUGAAAAAUCUGAAAGAGAAAUUAAGGAAACACUCCCAUUUACCAUUGCAACAAAAAGAAUAAAAUGCCUAGGAAUAAACCUACCUAGGGAGACAAAAGACCUGUAUGCAGAAAACUAUAAGACACUGAUGAAAGAAAUUAAAGAUGAUACCAACAGAUGGAGAGAUAUACCAUGUUCUUGGAUUGGAAGAAUCAAUACUGUGAAAAUGACUAUACUAGCCAAAGCAAUCUACAGAUUCAGUGCAAUCCCUAUCAAAUUUCCAAUGGCAUUUUUCUACAGAACUAGAACAAAAAAUCUUAAAAUUUGUAUGGAGACACAAAAGACCCCAAAUAGCCAAAGCAGUCUUGGGGGAAAAAAGUGGAGCUGGAGGAAUAAGACUCCCUGACUUCACACUAUACUACAAAGCUACAGUAAUCAAGACAAUAUGGUACUGGCACAAAAACAGAAAUAUAGAUCAAUGGAACAAGAUAAAAAGCCCAGAGAUAAACCCACGCACCUAUGGUCAACUAAUCUAUGACAAAGGAGGCAAGGAUAUACAAUGGAGAAAAGACAGUCUCUUCAAUAAGUGGUGCUGGGAAAACUGGACAGCUACAUGUAAAAGAAAGAAAUUAGACCACUCCCUAACACCAUACACAAAAAUAAACUCAAAAUGGAUUAGAGACCUAAACGUGAGAUCGGACACUAUAAAACUCUUAGAGGAAAACAUAGGAAGAACAUCUUUGACAUAAAUCACAGCAAGGUCUUUUUU